rnacentral:rRNA from 1 species
GACGAACGCUGGCGGCGUGCUUAACACAUGCAAGUCGAACGGAAAGGCCCUGCUUUUGUGGUGUGCUCGAGUGGCGAACGCGUGAGUAACACGUGAAUAACCUGCCCUUGAUUUUGGUAUAACUUCAGGAAACUAGGGCUACUCCCGUAUCGCAGCUCCUGCUGCAUGGUGGGGGUUGGAUAUUUUCGGCUGUUGGGGUUGGACUCGCGGCUUAUGAGCUUGUUGGUGGGGUAGUGGCUUACCAAGGCUUUGAAGGGUAGGCGGCCUGAGAGGGUGAACGGCGACAAGGGGACUGAGAGAGGGAGCAGAGUGGAACGGGAGGCAGAAGGGGGGAAUAUGACACAAUGGGACGAAGUCUGAUGAAGAAACGCCGCGGGCGGGAUGACGGCCUGUGGGGUGAAAACAGCUUUCGCCUGAGACGAAGCGUGAGUGACGGUAAUGAGUAAAGAAGCACCGGCUAACUACGUG